AUCCAGUUGACGAGUCCCAAAUAGGAUGAAACUCGCAUCCUAGAU
rfam:Schistosoma rodhaini strain Burundi genome assembly, scaffold: SROB_scaffold0004080